rnacentral:rRNA from 1 species
AGUGGCGAACGGGUGAGUAACGCGUGAGCAACCUGACUCUUAGAGGGGGAUAACACUCGGAAACGAGUGCUAAUACCGCAUAAGACCACGACAUGGCAUCAUGACGAGGUCAAAGGAGCAAUCCGCUGAGAGAGGGGCUCGCGUCCCAUUAGAUAGAUGGCGGGGUAACGGCCCACCAUGUCAACGAUGGGUAGCCGAGCUGAGAGGCUGAUCGGCCACACUGGAACUGAGACACGGUCCAGACUCCUACGGGAGGCAGCAGUGGGGAAUAUUGGGCAAUGGGCGCAAGCCUGACCCAGCAACGCCGCGUGAGGGAAGAAGGCUUUCGGGUUGUAAACCUCUGUCCUUGGUGACGAAAAAAAUGACGGUAGCCAAGGAGGAAGCCCCGGCUAACUACGUGCCAGCAGCCGCGGUAAUACGUAGGGGGCGAGCGUUGUCCGGAAUUACUGGGCGUAAAGGGUGCGUAGGUGGCCUUUUAAGUUGGAUGUGAAAUACCCGGGCUUAACCUGGGGGGUGCAUCUAAUACUGGGAGGCUAGAGUGCAGGAGAGGAAAGCGGAAUUCCUAGUGUAGCGGUGAAAUGCGUAGAUAUUAGGAGGAACACCAGUGGCGAAGGCGGCUUUCUGGACUGUAACUGACACUGAGGCACGAAAGCGUGGGGAGCAAACAGGAUUAGAUACCCUGGUAGUCCACGCGGUAAACGAUGAAUACUAGGUGU